UGCCGGUUACAAUCAAGUAAUUUGUUAAUACAUAUUAAUUAGGAUAAUUAUUAAUGCAAUAUUAAUUGAACUAUUAGGAUUCUUGAAUGGAAAAGGGGCAUCCAAUUCCACUGGAAGGUUAAACUUAAUUAGAGUAUUAGACAAGUCAAUUAUACAACAAAGCCCAUGCAAUUCCCCUCAAUAGUUUGCAUAAAGGUUACAUUCAUGACACACGUUUUGAUUAAACUAAAAAAAAAAAAAAACAGACCCUUCAAUAUAUCAUGUAAUUCCAAAUAUAUAUAAUGUGUGUGUAUAUAUAUAAUGUGUGUAUGAUGUUUAUUAGGAGACUCAUCAAAGAGGCAACAAAAUGAAGAAAAUAAGAUCUCGAAUACAAAUUCGAAGAAACCUUCUAUUUGACUCAUAAUGGGUGGAUGAAUAGUGCAUCCUUAAUAUUUUCAUUUUUUUU